AUGCAAGUCGAGGGGUAACGGAAGUAGCUUGCUACUAGACGACGACCGGCGCACGGGUGAGUAACGCGUAUGUAAUCUGCCUUGUACAGAGGGAUAGCCCAGAGAAAUUUGGAUUAAUACCUCAUAGUAUUACUGAAUCGCAUGAUUCGGUAAUUAAAGCUCCGGCGGUACAAGAUGAACAUGCGUGACAUUAGCUAGUUGGUAAGGUAACGGCUUACCAAGGCCACGAUGUCUAGGGGUUCUGAGAGGAUGAUCCCCCACACUGGUACUGAGACACGGACCAGACUCCUACGGGAGGCAGCAGUGAGGAAUAUUGGUCAAUGGACGCAAGUCUGAACCAGCCAUCCCGCGUGAAGGAUGACUGCCCUAUGGGUUGUAAACUUCUUUUAUAUGCAAAUAAACCUACUUUCGUGAAAGUAGCUGAAGGUAGCAUAUGAAUAAACACCGGCUAACUCCGUGCCAGCAGCCGCGGUAAUACGGAGGGUGUAAGCGUUAUCCGGAUUUAUUGGGUUUAAAGGGUACGUAGGCGGUAAUAUAAGUCAGUGGUGAAAUCCUGCAGCUCAACUGUA
rnacentral:rRNA from 1 species